AACGAACGCUGGCGGCAUGCCUAACACAUGCAAGUCGAACGAGACCUUCGGGUCUAGUGGCGCACGGGUGCGUAACGCGUGGGAACCUGCCCUUAGGUUCGGAAUAACUCCCCGACAGGGGUGCUAAUACCGGACAAUGUCUUCGGACCAAAGAUUUAUCGCCUUUGGUUGGGCCCGCGUUGGAUUAGCUCGUUGGUAGGGUAAAAGCCUACCAAGGCGACGAUCCAUAGCUGGUCUGAGAGGAUGAUCAGCCACACUGGGACUGAGACACGGCCGAGACUCCUACGGGAGGCAGCAGAGGGGAAUAUUGGACAGUGGGCGGAGGGCUGAUCCAGCAAUGCCGCGUGAGUGAUGAAGGCCUUAGGGUUGUAAAGCUCUUUUACCCGGGAUGAUAAUGACAGUACCGGGAGAAUAAGCUCCGGCUAACUCCGUG
rnacentral:rRNA from 1 species